rnacentral:rRNA from 1 species
UACGAAUGGAGCGAGCGUUGUUCGGAAUUACUGGGCGUAAAGCGCACGUAGGCGGACUGGAAAGUCAGAGGUGAAAUCCCAGGGCUCAACCUUGGAACUGCCUUUGAAACUCCCGGUCUUGAGGUCGAGAGAGGUGAGUGGAAUUCCGAGUGUAGAGGUGAAAUUCGUAGAGAUUCGGAGGAACACCAGUGGCGAAGGCGGCUCACUGGCUCGAUACUGACGCUGAGGUGCGAAAGAGUGGGGAGCAAACAGG